ACCCUUGCUCGGGUGUGAUGUGUCUAAUGAUUAAUCAUAUCACAGCCGUGCUUUAAGGGCUU
rnacentral:pre_miRNA from 1 species